CAUUAAUAGAUUUCUUAAAUGCAAAGUUAGGGAGUCUACCUUCAUAUACUUGGAAAAGCGUGUGUAUGGCAAGAGGACUAGUUCAAAUGGGCUGGGCUGGAGGGUGGGUUCGGGAGAAAGAACCUCCAUCAGAGAAGAUGCUUGGUUACCACAGUCUACAGGAUGUAGGCUGAAUGUUACAAUCACUAAUGAUGGCAUUGAUUUUGCAUCUAAUUUAAUUGAUGCUAGCACUAAAAAAUAGAAAGAAAUUUUAAUUUUUAAUACCUUUCAUGUGGAUGUCGCAAAAACUAUUAUGCAUAUUCCAUUUGCGAGGAUAAUCUCUGAAUAUCUACAAGUUUGGUAUGACGAAUGACUGGUGAUUUUACUGUGAGAAGCGCCUAUAAACUAUUACAAAACGGUUCCCUACUUUCUACUGAUGAUACAUCACAUGCUGAUUCUAGACAUUUUUACAAAAAUCUAUGAAAUUUACAAAUACCUCUGAAAAUUAAAACUAUGAUUUAGAGAUUUUCAUGGAAUUUUAUUCUUACUUUAGUCAAUCUAAAUUAUAGAAAGAUUACAGUGAAUACUUUGUACCCACGCUGCUGCAAUUCUAUGGAGGAUUCUAUCCAUGUGUUUCAUGACUGCCCUAUAUUAAUAUAAACUUGGGUUAGUCUUAAUCUCUCAUGGAUGCUGAAUAAUUCGGAUAAUAGUUUCUGGGAUUGGGUUACCUAGGUGUUUCGGAUUGCUACCAGUGAGCAAUGUAGAAUUUUCUGUUGUGGGAUUUGGAUACUUUGGACAAGCCGAAAUCGCCUCGUACAUGAAAGGAAAAUUGUGUCUGGUAAGGAGAUCUCGGAUUGGACCAUAAGUUAUGUUAAAAACUUGAAGGGAUUGAAAAGGAAAAGCUUAUCUGAACGAGAGAUUUUGAUAAGUGGGAACCCCCUCAUGAACCUUUCUUUAAGAUUAACUUUGAUGGGGCCUAUGACCCCCAGCAUGCAAGAUCUGGGUCAAGGGUAGUGGUGAGGAACCCAGUGGGGGAAAUAUUAGCUUCUAGAGCCGUGGGUCAUAAAGCAAUUUCUUCUUCGCUCGCUGCUAAAGCGUAGGCGUGUGUUCAGGUGCUGCGACUAGGCAUUCACAUGGGGGCAGAGUGUGCAAUAAUCGAAGGGGACUCAUUGACAACAAUAAAGAAAGCCAACUCAGAUAGUGAAGAUAAAUCGGAGAUAAGAGCCAUUACUAAAAACCUUCAACAAUAUAAAGAGAACUUUCAACAAAUUAUUUUCAGGCACAUUUCAAGAUCGGCAAACUCUCUUGCUCAUAAUUUGGCUAAAGAAAUAUUGAAAAAGGGGGAAGAUAAUAACCUGAGUGGUGAGUCCCGAAUUUCGUACGCAGGGCAGAAGAGAGAAGAAGACAAUGAACCCAGAUUGAGGGUGAGUUUGGAUGGACGGUGCGUUUACAUGCGGUUAGUGUAAAAACAGCGGUGGUAGUGAGAUUAGAUACUACUGUAGCGUGAGACAAAAAGUAAACUAAACGCACCACACCGCACCCAAUUGCCCAUCCAAACCCACCCUGAGUUUGGAGAUUGGAAGGUUUCUGGAAGACAAGCAAUAGCAUACAAAGGUUUUGAUUUUAUGUUUUAGAAACUGCUAUUUCUUAGGUAUCUGGUAGGUGCAUUUA
rnacentral:lncRNA from 1 species